UCUCCGUAGGUGAACCUGCGGAAGGAUCAUUACCUGGAGUUGUGGGCUUUGCCCGCGAUCUCUUACCCAUGUUUUUUGAGUACCUACGUUUCCUCGGCGGGUCCGCCCGCCGAAUGGACAAUUUAAACCCACUGCAGUUGCAAUCAGCGUCUGAAAAAUUUAAUAGUUACAACUUUCAACAACGGAUCUCUUGGUUCUGGCAUCGAUGAAGAACGCAGC
rnacentral:misc_RNA from 1 species